rnacentral:rRNA from 1 species
UCGGGUUAAGUCCCAUAACGAGCGCAACCCUUAUCGUUAGUUGCCAUCUGGUAAUGCAGGGACUCUAGCGAAACUGCCACCGUAAGGUGAGAGGAAGGUGGGAUGACGUCAAAUCAGCAGGCCCUUAUGUCCAGGGCUACACACGUGUUACAAUGGUCGGUACAGAGGGCAGCUAACCUGGUGACAGGAUGCUAAUACUCGAAAACCGGUCUCAGUUCGGAUCGAAGUCUGCAACUCGACUUCGUGAAGCUGGAUUCGCUAGUAAUCGCGCAUCAGCUAUGCGCGGUCGAAUACGUUCCCGGGCCUU